rnacentral:misc_RNA from 1 species
GAUGAAGAACGUAGCAAAAUGCGAUAAGUAAUGUGAAUUGCAGAAUUCAGUGAAUCAUCGAAUCUUUGAACGCACAUUGCGCCCGCCAGUAUUCUGGCGGGCAUGCCUGUUCGAGCGUCAUUUCAACCCUCAAGCACAGCUUGGUGUUGGGACUCGCGUUAAUUCGCGUUCCCCAAAUUGAUUGGCGGACACGUCGAGCUUCCAUAGCGUAGUAGUAAAACCCUCGUUACUGGUAAUCGUCGCGGCCACGCCGUUAAACCCCAACUUCUGAAUGUUGACCUCGGAUCAGGUAGGAAUACCCGCUGAACUUAAGCAUAUCAAUAAGCGGAGGA